rnacentral:rRNA from 1 species
UGGGGAAUAUUGGACAAUGGGCGCAAGCCUGAUCCAGCCAUGCCGCGUGAGUGAUGAAGGCCCUAGGGUUGAAAAGCUCUUUCACCGGUGAAGAUAACGACGGUAACCGGAGAAGAAGCCCCGGCUAACUUCGUGCCAGCAGCCGCGGUAAUACGAAGGGGGCCAGCGUUGUUCGGAUUUACUGGGCGUAAAGCGCACGUAGGCGGGCUUUUAAGUCAGGGGUGGAAUCACGGGGCUCAACCCCGGUACUGCCUUUGAUACUGGAAGACUUGAAUAUGGUAGAGGUGUGUUGAAUAACGAGUUUAGAAGUGAAAUUCGUAGGUAUUCGGAGGAACACCAGUGGCGAAGGCGGCUCACUGGGCCAUUGCUGACGCUGCGGUGCGAAAGCGUGGGGGGCAAACAGG